rnacentral:lncRNA from 13 species
AUGGAUCAGAUCUUGGACGGUAUAGACAAUGUUGUGUGCUUCAUGGACGACAUCCUCGUGUCAGCACCAACCAUUGGAGAGCACCUUGUAGUGCUGGACAAAGUGAUGUCAAGACUGGAGAAAUACGGAGUGAAAAUGAAACGCAGCAAGUGUGAGUUCCUCCAGGUCUCAGUGGAGUAUCUCGGAUACAAGAUUGAUGCACAAGGCCUGCACCCAACCAACCGCCAGGUGAAGAACACCCUAUUGCAUUUGCAUCACGGACUCUGUCCGUGUGAGAAGAAUUAUGCUCAAAUUGAGAAGGAAGCCCUGAGCAUAAUAUUCGGAGUGAAGAAGUUUCACAAAUACCUCUACGGAAGGAAGUUCCAACUGCUUACAGAUCACAAGCCUCUGUUGGCCAUCCUUGGACCAAAAUACCAGCUAAUACCAGCUAUACCAACCCUUGCUGCACUUCGAAUGCAACGUUGCGCUCUGAUAUUGUUAGCCUACGACUACGAGAUUGAGUACAGACGAUCCAGUGAUCACGCAAAUGCCGAUGUACUAUCAAGACUACCAUGCAAUAGUGACUCCGACAGUGAAGAUGAUAGAGCAGUCUUCCAGAUCUCUCUCAUUGAUGAACUGCCCAUAUUUGCUUCAGACAUAGCAGAGGAAACAAGGAAAGACCCAGUGCUUUCCAAAGUCUUGGACUUAACAUUAGGCGGUUGGCCAUCAUUCGUAAAUGACGAUAACCUUCGUCCAUUCAUCGACAAGAAAGACCAGUUGUCCACUGAUCAAGGAUGUGUUCUUUGGGGAUCAAGGGUGGUGGUACCUCACAAAUUCCAGAGGAGACUGCUAUCUGACCUGCAUGCAGGGAUCACUCGAAUGAAAGCACUCGCUCGCAGUUAUCUGUGGUGGCCUGGACUGGAUCAGGACAUUCAACAGCAUGUAGGCCACUGCUCACCUUGUGAAGCUGUUCGCAACAAGCCUGCUGCUGCACCUCUUCAUCCAUUGUCCUGGGCUGCUACAUGUGGAUUACGCCGAGAUUGA